rnacentral:lncRNA from 1 species
GGUAUGACUAUCUCUGAGAGAUAAACAGAGACUCGGAGAAGUUAAUUAACUUUCCAACAUUGUCGUAGCUACUAAGUGAAAGACCCAGAAUUUGAAAGCAGCUGGGCUGAUUCCACAGUUCAUGCUUUCUACUUGCUGAACUCUGCUCUCAUGCCAAAUGGCACCACCCAGAAGAUGCUGAAAAUCCAUAGGGGGAGGAUAGAUUUACAUUGAUAAGGGGGAAAAAGGUCUACUUAAAAAAGGAAACCAGCAAAUACAAGAUAGGAUACAAUAAAAUGCAACAAGGAAGGUGGUCAAGAAACAUAACGCAUGGCCAUGGACAAAAAGCAAAGAAGAGGAACAACCUGUGUUGGAUGGAGGCCGGAGUGUAAUGGCACUGCUCACUGCAACCUUUGCUCACUGCAACCUCCACCUCCUCAGUUCAAGCAAUUCUCCUGCCUCAGCUUCCUGAGUAGCUGAGAUUACAGGUGCCUUUCACCAUGCCUGGCUAAUCUUUUGUAAGCGCACAAUGGUAUGGAACUAGAAAUUAAUAACAGAAGGAAACUUGAAAAAUUCACAAAUAUGUGGAAAUUAAACAGCGCACUCAUGAACAACCAGUGGAUCAAAGAAGAAAUCAAAAGGAAGCAAGAAAAAGAAGAAAGCAAGAGAUAUCUUGAGACAAAUAAAUGGAAACACAACAUGCCAAAAUUUAUGGAAUUCAGCAAAAGCAGUUCUAAGAUGGAAGUUUAUGGUGAUAAAGGCUUACGUUAAGAAAAAAAUGGUUUCAAAUAAACAAUCUAACUUGACAACUCAAGGAACUAGAAAAAGAAGAAUGAACUAAACCCAAAGUUAACAGAAGGAAGGAGAUAAAAAGACCAGAACAGACAGAACAGAAUAGAGAGCUCAGUAUUUAUGGUCAGUUAAUUCUUGACAAAGGUGCCAAGAACUCACAAUAGGGAAAGGAUAGUCUCUUCAAUAAAUGGUGCUGGGAAAAUUGUGUAUCCACAUGCAGAAGAGUAAAACUGAAUCCUUAUCUCAUACCAUAUACAAAAAUCAACUCAAAAUAGAUUAAAGACUAAACAUAAGACCUGAAACUGUAAAACUACCAGACAAAAACAUGCAGGAAAAUCUUCUUGACAUUGGUCUGGGCAAUGAUUUUUUUGGCUAUAGCCCCCAAAAUUCAGGCAACAGAAAAAAAAAUAGACAAAUGUGAUUGCAUCAAACUAAAACCUUCUCUACAGCAAGGGAAACCAUCAACAGAAUGGAGAGACAACCUAUGGAAUGGGAAAAAGUAUUUGCAGAGGAUACAUCUGGUGAAGGGUCAAUAUCUGAAAUAUAUAAGGAACUCAAGCAAUUUGAUAGCAAAAAAAAAAAAAAACCAAAUAACCCAAUUUUUAACUGGGCAAACGAUCUGAAUAGGUAUUUCUCAAAAGAAGACAUACAAAUAGCAAACAAAUAUGUGGAGAAAUGCUCAGCAUCACCAAUCAUCAAGGAAAUGCAAAUUAAAACCACAAUGAGAUAUCUAUACUUCACACCUGUUAGAAUGGCUGUUAUCAAAAAGACAAAAGAUAUCAAGUGUUGGUAAGCAUGUGGAAAAAAAGAAAACCCUUGUACACCUUUGGCAGGAAUAUAAAUUGGUACAGCCGCUACAGAAAAUAGUAUGAAGUUUCCUUAACACAUUGAAAAUAACGCUACCAUAUAAUCCAGCAAUUCCACUUAGGAAUAUGUAUCGAAAGAAAGCUAAAUUAGUAUUUCAAGGAGAUAUGUACACUCCCAUGUUCAUUGCAGCAUUAUUCACAAUAGAUAAGAUAUGCAAUUAACCCAAGUGUUUACCAAUUAAUAAAUAAAGUGUGUGCAUGUAUGUGUGUAGUGAAAUCUUAUCCACCUUAAAAAAGAAGGAAAUCCUGUUAUUUGCAACAAUGUGGAUGAACCCGGAAGACAUUAUGCUAAGUGAAAUAAGCUAGGCACAAAAAGACAAAUACUGCAUGAUUCACUUGUAUAUGAAAUCUAGGCUGGGUGCGGUGGCUCACGCCUGUAAUCCCAGCACUUUGGGAGGCCAAGGCAGGCGGAUCACAAGGUCAGGAGUUUGAGACCAGCCUGGCCAAUAUGGUGAAACCCCG